UGCUAUCAGAGCUGCUCGGGUUGGUAAGCAAAGGUAUUUCCUGUGCAAACAGAACUCUUGGAAAUGUUCCAGCACUUAAGCAGCGCUGCUGGAUCUAGGAGCUGCUCAGCUGGGUUGGUAGCAGUCAGUGAUACAGCCAUCAGCACACUGGAAUAACUGGGAUUUUGGGAUAAGUCACCUCAGAUUUUCAGGAGUGAAGCUGAAGUUUCCAGCCAGUCAUUGAAUUGAAUCUUCUGGUUUGGACUAGAAAAAGUUGAUUUCAAGGUCCCUUUCCCUUCCAAAGGACACACAGACACAAAUGAAACUGCUCUGAAAAGCUUUCAGAAAUUGUUGUGGUUUUCCUGCACUCUUCAUUGCUGCUGCAGGUUUGUGAAACACAGCAGAGAGCACAGAGCCCUGACCCUUCAAAGCAACCAGGACCAAUUUCUCCCCAGCAGAAUCUGGCAGCACUGAUUAAUGUCCAGCACCAUCAGCACCAGGACUAUGUACAAGCUGCUAAAAGCUAUAAAAAUGCAUCAACCUCUACUCCAACAUAUAGUAAAGAAAGUAUUUUUAAAAAUCCCAAUCAGCAUCUCACUAAACAAGACAAUAAUGAAGUUAGCUUAUUUUAAUUUGGGUGAUUGAUUGUCAAGAUGCAACAACUGUUUCUCCAGUCUACACACCAGCAGUCUGUUUUUACAUGAAAGCACCAAGCAGGAAAUUGCUCCAUGAUAAAGCAUCGAGCUGUUAGAGCAGCUCAGCCGUGCCUGGAACAUUGCCCUCGGCACAGGGAUCAUCAGCUCGGAGCUGUACCUGGAGAUGGAGAGUGCCCCAAUGCUCCCCUGAUAAAUGAAUUAUCCUCCCCGGAUGCUCCAAGGGAUCGCUCCUUCCUAGAGGAACUGCUGUUCUUUACCAAGGCUUGGUUUUAUUUGUCAUCAUCACACUCGUGCAGUCACUGUGAGCUCUUCAAGAACAGCAUGAACCUUUCAGAAGCUGGCAGUACUGACAGUACCCUGUGCUUUGUGCCUGAGGACCUUGGCAUGGCCUUUAACACCAAAACAGGGGCAAUCUCUGGAUGUGCUGGCAGGGCAAGUGACUGGAAGGCACGAAGCCCAACCAAACAGCUGGAAGUGGCAGGUAAUGCUGGAGUCUUCUACUUGAAAAAAGCCUUAAAUUAA
rnacentral:lncRNA from 1 species